ACUCCUACGGGAGGGCAGCAGUAGGGGAAUCUUCCACAAUGGGCGCAAGCCUGAUGGAGCAACACCGCGUGAGUGAAGAAGGGUUUCGGCUCGUAAAGCUCUGUUGUUAAAGAAGAACACGUAUGAGAGUAACUGUUCAUACGUUGACGGUAUUUAACCAGAAAGUCACGGCUAACUACGUGCCAGCAGCCGCGGUAAUACGUAGGUGGCAAGCGUUAUCCGGAUUUAUUGGGCGUAAAGAGAGUGCAGGCGGUUUUCUAAGUCUGAUGUGAAAGCCUUCGGCUUAACCGGAGAAGUGCAUCGGAAACUGGAUGACUUGAGUGCAGAAGAGGGUAGUGGAACUCCAUGUGUAGCGGUGGAAUGCGUAGAUAUAUGGAAGAACACCAGUGGCGAAGGCGGCUACCUGGUCUGCAACUGACGCUGAGACUCGAAAGCAUGGGUAGCGAACAGGAUUAGAUACCCUGGUAGGAUAGCG
rnacentral:rRNA from 1 species